UGAGAAUCUUGAUGAUGCU
rnacentral:siRNA from 1 species